rnacentral:tRNA from 1 species
ACUUUUAAAGGAUAGNAGCUAUCCGUUGGUCUUAGGAAC